CUACCAUGUGGAUUCAUGGAUUUUUUUUUUUUUUUUUCACAUUCUGUCUCUCACAGUUGAAGUGUACUUCUGGUGCAAAUUACUGACCUCUGUCAUCAUUUUAGGAGGGGGAACUUGCACAAUCGGUGGCUGACUAAAUACUUUUUUGCCCCACUGUACAUUUAGCCUGAUGUUUAAUCACCCAGGAGCAGUUUGCCUUGGGAGACAAUGGCUCCUGGGACACGUGAUCCCUUCACCACACAUGUCUUUUAUCCUGUCUUCCUUCUCUCACCUCAACCGGUCGCAGCAGAUGGCCGCCCCUCCCUGAGCCUGGUUCUGCCGGAGGUUUCUUCCUGUUAAAGGGGAGUUUUUCCUUGCCACUGUCGCCAAAGUGCUUGCUCAUAGGGGUCAUAUGAUUGUUGGGUUUCUCUCUGUAUCUAUGAAGCGCCUUGAGGCGACUUUUGUUGUGAUUUGGCGCUAUAUAAAUAAAAUUGAAUUGAAUCGACAGUAUCGAACGCUGCACUGAGGUCUAGCAGGACAAGCACAGAGAUGAGUCCACUGUCAGAGGCCAUAAGAAGAUCAUUUGUAACCUUCACUAAAGCUGUUUCUGCCAUUCCUCUGCAGAUGAUCUGUUAGCAGUUUGACAACUACUCUUUCAAGGAUGUUUGAUGUGAAAGGAAGGUUGGAGAUUGGCCUAUAAUUAGCUAAGACAGCUGGAUGUAGUUAUAUAGGUACCUUAAAGGCCUGUGGUAUAUACAUACUAGUAGGUUGAUCAUAUGUAAAAUGAAAGCAUUAAUCGAUGGCAGGAUUUCUUUGAGCAGUCUGGUAGGAAUGCUACGUUCACACUGCAGGUCUUAAUGCUCAAUUCCGAUUUUUUGAUCAAAUCCGAUUUUUUUGUCUGCUUGUUCACACUAUAAAUGCUCAGUGUGACUCCUCAAAGCGGCCCGCAUGCACAAAAGAAGGCAUCACACACAACGCGCUCUGUUUAGACCCAGACCAAACAGUAUUGUUUGACUGAUGGCCCUUAAUGUAAAUCAUCAGAUAUGUCAUCGGAUAUGGAUCCCAUAGGGUCAAAAAAGUCGGAUGCGACUUUUUCCGAUCAUAUCCGAUCAUGGUAUGACAGUGUAAACAGCACAAAUCCGAUAUUUUCAAAUCUGAUCUGGGUCACUUUCGUAUGUGGUACUGAAUCCGAUACAUAUCUGAUGUUUUAGAAAGCGAGGCUGUGUGAAUGGUCAUGUCGCAUUAAAUCCGUUUUUUACGUCACUGACACAAGACAGACGGCAAUUAUCAGCGCGGGAGAAGACAUCGUGAACGCUUCCUGGCCAUCCAGUGUAGAUGUCAGUGAAACUGUUUGGAAGACGAUGUUGGAGAAACGUAACAUUUUAUUUGUAGUGUGCACAAGCAGACAAAUAAAUCAGAUUUGAUCAAAAAAUCGGAAUUGAUCAUUAAGACCUGCAGUGUGAACGUAGCCUAAGAGUAAGUAGUCAGAAAGGAACUUUCACAGGGCAAUCUAAAAAUAGGCACCGUGCUCACAGUGGUCCUGAGGUACACGGGGACUUUAAAUCAUUUAUGUAUUUUUAUGAGUGGCAACGUGAAACUUUUACAGCAAUCCCUGUAAAUAUAUUUUCCAUUCCUAACUGUUGAUUGAUUAUGAAAAAAAUCAGCAAAUGUCAGAGUUUUUAAAAUCUUUUUGAUCUAAAGAAAAUGUGUCUGACAUAAGUUAUGUCCUUUCAGCAGCUCCUUCUCUAAUGUGAUGAGAGAGACUUUGUAUCUGAUUUUCCUGCCAGUGUGGACAUCAUAAGAUAUAAACACAAUGUGCUUAAUGGGGUGCUUACAUGAUAAUUAGUGGGCCUAAUGGCUUCUCUCUUUUUGUGUGGGCUUCGCUUCUCAAAAAAGAAGUAUUGAUCUGGGUAAAUAAUAUCUUCACACAGAAUGUCGUGUUCUCUAAUGACAGCAUCAAGGUGUCUAAAAGUUGUUUUAAUGAGUCAUUUUGUGAAAGGACAGAAUCCACAAAGUAACUGAUGUUUGAGGGUUUUGUUCUCUUGGUCUGAAUUGUGUGUCAGUUGUUCUGUUUUUAGGUUUUAUCUACCAGAAAAAUCUCUUUUUGCACAUUGAUGACAUCUUUUUCUUCUAUGUUCUUUAUUCUUUUUGUUAUGAU
ensembl:lncRNA